rfam:Colwellia sp. Phe_37 scaffold_394, whole genome shotgun sequence.
AACGCUAUUUUUCGCCGAGCUAUUUUAGCUAAAUGAGUUGCGAUGCAACUGACAUGCUGUUGUAGCCGUAAACCAAAAUAAUAUUUUGUGUUUACCAGGGUUAACAAGGAAACUUGUUUGCCUCCCGACAUUGGAAAGGUGACAUGUUAACAGACAAC